AAGCGGAGGAAAAGAAACUAACAAGGAUUCCCCUAGUAACUGCGAGUGAAGCGGGAAAAGCUCAAAUUUAAAAUCUGGCAGAUGUUUGUCUGUCCGAGUUGUAACCUAGAGAAGUGUAACCUGUGCUGGACCGUGUACAAGUCUCUUGGACAUAGAGCAUCAUAGAGGGUGGGAAUCCCGUCUUUGACAUGGACUACCAGUGCAUUGUGGUUGCGCACUCAACGAGUCGAGUUGUUUGGGAAUGCAGCUCUAAAUGGGUGGUAAAUUCCAUCUAAAGCUAAAUAUUGGCGAGAGACCGAUAGCGAACAAGUACCGUGAGGGAAAGAUGAAAAGAACUUUGGAAAGAGAGUUAAACAGUAUGUGAAAUUGUUGAAAGGGAAACGCUUGAAGUCAGCUGCAUUGGCUGGGAAUCAAGCCAGCUUAUUUGCUGGGUGUACUUCCUGGUUGAUGGGCCAACAUCAGUUUUGACCAUCAGAGAAAGGCUAAGGGAAUGUGGCACCUU
rnacentral:rRNA from 1 species